GGCGGCGUGCUUAACACAUGCAAGUCGAACGAGAAUCUGUGGAAAGAGGAUUCGUCCAAUUGAAGCAGAGGACAGUGGCGGACGGGUGAGUAACGCGUGAGGAACCUGCCUUUCAGAGGGGGACAACAGUUGGAAACGACUGCUAAUACCGCAUAACAUAUAGAUGUCGCAUGGCAUUUAUAUCAAAGAUUUAUCGCUGAAAGAUGGCCUCGCGUCUGAUUAGCUAGUUGGUGAGGUAACGGCCCACCAAGGCGACGAUCAGUAGCCGGACUGAGAGGUUGAACGGCCACAUUGGGACUGAGAUACGGCCCAGACUCCUACGGGAGGCAGCAGUGGGGAAUAUUGGGCAAUGGGCGCAAGCCUGACCCAGCAACGCCGCGUGAAGGAAGAAGGCUUUCGGGUUGUAAACUUCUUUUGUCAGGGACGAGUAGAAGACGGUACCUGACGAAUAAGCCACGGCUAACUACGUG
rnacentral:rRNA from 1 species